CCUACGGGUGACAGCAGUGAGGAAUAUUGGUCAAUGGACGAGAGUCUGAACCAGCCAAGUAGCGUGAAGGAUGACUGCCCUAUGGGUUGUAAACUUCUUUUAUAUGGGAAUAAAACGUUCCACGUGUGGGAUUUUGUAUGUACCAUAUGAAUAAGGAUCGGCUAACUCCGUGCCAGCAGCCGCGGUAAUACGGAGGAUCCGAGCGUUAUCCGGAUUUAUUGGGUUUAAAGGGAGCGUAGGUGGAUUGUUAAGUCAGUUGUGAAAGUUUGCGGCUCAACCGUAAAAUUGCAGUUGAAACUGGCAGUCUUGAGUACAGUAGAGGUGGGCGGAAUUCGUGGUGUAGCGGUGAAAUGCUUAGAUAUCACGAAGAACUCCGAUUGCGAAGACAGUUCACUGGACUGCAACUGACACUGAGGCUCGAAAGUGUGGGUAUCAAACAGGAUUAGAUACCCCUGUAGUC
rnacentral:rRNA from 1 species